UCGGCCUGACCAAAAUUCAAGCUGCUAUACCUCUGGCUGCAUUGACUUGUGGUCAGAGUGUAUGGUGAUCAUAGCAUGCAAGUAUUGGGCUCGAUAAAUCCUUUGAAGACGACUUAAUUGCAUCCGGGUAUGUAAGUGUUGAGAGUAGGCUUAGUCUUACGAUCCACUGAGAUUCAUCCCGUGUUGCGCCGAUUUGU
rnacentral:ncRNA from 1 species